rnacentral:RNase_P_RNA from 1 species
AGUUGAUUAUACGGUCGCGUGACGUAUUCGUCAUGAGGAAAGUCCGAGCAUCGCAGAGCAGGACGCCGGAUAACGUCCGGUGGAGGUGACUCCAAGGAAAGUGCAACAGAAACAGACCGCAGAGCAAUCUGCAAGGAUGGAAAGGGGAGGUAAGAGCUCACCGGUGCUCCGGUAACGGAGUGCGCUGUGUAAACCCCGUCCGAUGCAAGAUUGGGCAUUCGUCACAUGGGCUGCUCGUCCGACGAAUGCCGUGAAUAUCGCUUGAACGCGCCGGUGACGGUGCGGCCAGAUAGAUGACCGUACACGACAGAACUCGGCUUACAGAUCA